AUGCAGCCAUGCCGCGUGUGUGAAGAAGGCCUUCGGGUUGUAAAGCACUUUCAGUUGUGAGGAAAAGUUAGUAGUUAAUACCUGCUAGCCGUGACGUUAACAACAGAAGAAGCACCGGCUAACUCCGUGCCAGCAGCCGCGGUAAUACGGAGGGUGCGAGCGUUAAUCGGAAUUACUGGGCGUAAAGCGCACGCAGGCGGUUUGUUAAGCUAGAUGUGAAAGCCCCGGGCUCAACCUGGGAUGGUCAUUUAGAACUGGCAGACUAGAGUCUUGGAGAGGGGAGUGGAAUUCCAGGUGUAGCGGUGAAAUGCGUAGAUAUCUGGAGGAACAUCAGUGGCGAAGGCGACUCCCUGGCCAAAGACUGACGCUCAUGUGCGAAAGUGUGGGUAGCGAACAGGAUUAGAUACCCUGGUAGUCCACACCGUAAACGCUGUCUACUAGCUGUGUGUGCCUUUAAGGCGUGCGUAGCGAAGCUAACGCGCUAAGUAGACCGCCUGGGGAGUACGGCCGCAAGGUUAAAACUCAAAUGAAUUGACGGGGGCCCGCACAAGCGGUGGAGCAUGUGGUUUAAUUCGAUGCAACGCGAAGAACCUUACCUACACUUGACAUGCUGAGAAGUUACUAGAGAUAGUUUCGUGCCUUCGGGAACUCAGACACAGGUGCUGCAUGGCUGUCGUCAGCUCGUGUCGUGAGAUGUUGGGUUAAGUCCCGCAACGAGCGCAACCCUUGUCCUUAGUUGCCAGCCUUAAGUUGGGCACUCUAAGGAGACUGCCGGUGACAAACCGGAGGA
rnacentral:rRNA from 1 species